GCUUCUCCGCUAGUCUUUGCUAGAUGGCUGCUCCGUGCAGGGAAGCGCUUGCAAGGAGAGCAUCCCAGAGCACAGUGAGCUGUGGGCAGCCCUCUGCUGGGAUUUCUGUUGAGGAAUUUCUUUACCUCUUCAGUCAUACACAUUGGGACUCAUUUCUAAGACCCCUUUCUUUUUAUUCCAGAGGAGCAAUGCUAGGUGAAACUGGCAGAGACAUGAGAAACAAAGAUCCAGCUCUGCUAAAAAAACCACGGAACUUAACGAGAAUUACCAUAGAAGUUGAAGAUCUUUCAGGGAAUCCAAACCCAAAUCUGAGUGUGUUCUCUAUUCAACUUUCUCG
ensembl:lncRNA